AAGUGCUACAGCUCUUUAAGAACUUGUCUAGCAGGUUUUCUGGUUGUUACCAAAAAGCCUUC
rnacentral:snRNA from 1 species